CGGCGGACGGGUGAGUAACACGUGGGUAACCUACCUAUAAGACUGGGAUAACUCCGGGAAACCGGGGCUAAUACCGGAUAACACAUGAAACCGCAUGGUUUCAUGAUGAAAGACGGUUUUGCUGUCACUUAUAGAUGGACCCGCGGUGCAUUAGCUAGUUGGUGAGGUAACGGCUUACCAAGGCAACGAUACGUAGCCGACCUGAGAGGGUGAUCGGCCACACUGGAACUGAGACACGGUCCAG
rnacentral:rRNA from 1 species